GAUGAACGCUAGCGACAGGCCUAACACAUGCAAGUCGAGGGGCAGCACAUGAGUAGCAAUACGAUGGUGGCGACCGGCGCGACGGGUGAGUAACGCGUAUGCAACCUACCUAUCAGGAGGGGACUAACCCGGCGAAAGUCGGACUAAUACCGCAUAAAACAGGGGCACCGCAUGGUGAUAUUUGUUAAAAAUUUAUUGCUGAUAGAUGGGCAUGCGUUCCAUUAGGUAGUUGGAGAGGUAACGGCUCACCAAGCCCACGAUGGAUAGGGGAACUGAGAGGUUGGUCCCCCACACUGGUACUGAGACACGGACCAGACUCCUACGGGAGGCAGCAGUGAGGAAUAUUGGUCAAUGGGCGAGAGCCUGAACCAGCCAAGUCGCGUGAAGGAAGAAGGCCUUCGGGUUGUAAACCUCUGUCAUGGGGGAAGAAGUAAGUGACGGUACCCCAAGAGGAAGCCCCUGCUAACUACGUG
rnacentral:rRNA from 1 species